GUGAAUUUAGAUUAUUUUGAAAACUUCUCUGAAUCAGUUAUAUUUUAGACAUUUAAUUAUAUGUUCAGUUCGGCUAUUUGGGCCUUAAAUUACAAAUUCAGGUUGAAUACCAAAUAAGGUACACUUUAAUGAAUAGUUCUCUUAUUAAUGCCUUGGAGCAAAUCUUGCCCAGCUCUUCAAUACUCUCACUACACUCUUUUCUCAUGCAUUGACUUCUGCACACAUUACAUGUUCCUGAUCCUAUAGGCACAUGAUGCUCAGACGCUCCUCAACCACUGCUCAACAAUAUACUGUGCUUUAAUUAGUGAGAUCUCUGUAUGUGCCAGUUGCACCCAUCUAAUUGCUACCUAAAAACCCAACAUAUUUCUAAAAACAAAUUCUAACAAAACAUGUAUUACAUACAGGAACAGUAGAUGAAGAGGGCCAUGACCAAAUGAGCUCACAAUGUAAAUAAUGGGCACUAUAAGGGAGUUGGACAUUAUUGGGGAUGCCAUACCUCCUCUCCCACCACGGUUCCUAGGUAAGCUGUUCUACAGCUCCAAGUUCAGUCAAUUGCAUUAAAUGUAAAAGAUUAAUUUGUAAUGCCCUUAUCAGACAGUCGCCUGUAGGCAGUUGCCUACUUUGUCUAAAGGCAAAUUCAGUCCUAACAUCCCCGUGUAUGCUUACUAUCACCAGUGUUUUGUUUGAAGCAUUCUAUGUCAUUUGUUCUUUUAUUUUUUCCUCCCUGCUCCAGAUAAUGAGAGCAAGCUUUCUCCAUAACCAUUCUUUAUCCUCCACUCUAUUCUCUCCCUGUCAAUCUAGGUUUUUUUUUCAUCUCAUACUUCUGUCUCUCUCCACACCUCUCCCUGUCAUUUCCUCUCCUCCCCUCUUCUCUGAUAUUGCUGCCUGUGCUACUGCCUUUCUUUUUACAAAAUGACAUGUGUUUGUCAGUUUGAGAUGAGGGGGUGGGGGCAAGUUUCGGGGUGAUCUUCCCCACCUCCCCCAUCUCACUCUUGCAUGUUUUGCAUGACAGUCAGGACUAAAAAUGAACUCUUGGUUUUAUUUUUCUUAAAUAAAUCUUUUUGCUGCUAAGUUAAAAUAGAAAAUUGCAACAACAAAAAAAUAAAAUAAUAAAUAAAAAUCUGUUUUAACCCCUCUACUGCCAGACUGAAAAGUAGCUUUAACACUGUUUAAUGUCGCCAUAAGCGUUGCACUUCAUAUAGAACAGAACUGAGGUUUACAGUGCGUGUAUAAUUCCUACCUAAAUAUAACAUUAAUAUGAGGAUUUUGUGUUGUUCCUGCAUAAGCUGCCCUUUUAAUUUAUAAUUUUCCACUUCUAACAGCCCUAACAUCAUCACUGCUUACACUGCGCCUUUCAUUAACCUCGUAUUUAUACACUGCAUUUGCAAUUCCAGUAAACACAUUAUGUCUUUCAAGCGACAUAAAUAUCACUGUAUCGCUACAUAGUCUGCUCCCCCUGACAUGCACUUACUGUUAGCAUUGACUGCACUUUCUAGAAACAUGCACUGCACUUCCUAUCAAAAUAACCUGCUUUCCAAGCCAACAGGUCCUGAAAGCACUUCAUAAGUAUUCUCUGUGCGCUGCACUUUAUGUAUACACUGCUUUGUAUGCUAGCUGCAACAUAGACUUUUUUGUUUGUUUGUACUUUUCAGUGUUAACAAUGUGUACAUCUUGCACUGGCAGUGAAGGGGUUAAUAUCAAUGUACAGUUCCUAUAUCUAUGUCUGCCUGGAACAGUCUAUGAAGUGACUGCUGACCCAAGAAGGGGUGUGCUGUGCAAGGGGCAUUCAGCAUUUCAAUGUCCCCUAGCCUGCAGUGAUAUGAUUAUACUUCCUAACUUUGUAUGUUGGUGAUUAAGUUGCGGUGUGUAAGGACACAGAGUGUCACUAAACACUCAUAAUGCACGUUGCACUAUAUUUUGAUUAUAUAUUUAUAUAUCAGGGACUGGCUACAUUGUAUAAUUGUUCUGACAGGGUUAUUUAAACUAAACUGGGAAUUUUCCAGGGAAUUAAAAUGUAUUUUAUUUUUUUCUUGUCAGUUCUUGAAAAUUCUGUUUCCUACCUAAUCCUGUUGGAAUUAUUCAUCAAACUGGAAAUUGUAGAAAACUACCAAGAGAAUUACAUUGUUAUUGCUGCAGAUUGUCUACGAUCGCCUACCAUUCACAGUUCCCUUGUUAGUCCUACACCGUUCCCAGUUAAGUGAAUAAUCCUGUCAGAAUAUCUCUGUACACAUAAAAUGGGUGUAUGCUGCUGUCUGUAGCAAUACAUAGUUCCUUUUCAUACUGAGACUGGGCAUAUGCUGAAGUGUGUAUCAAUAACUGUACCUGUAUCUUUAUAACUAGAGAAUGAGCGUCCUGCAUGGUAUUACAGUCCUAAGAUCCUUUACACACUGACAUAAGCACAUGCUGUGGUACACAGUAAUAAUUAGUAUCUUUCUGUAGAGAACGUAUUGCUGUGUAAAUUCACAAUUAUCUUUCUGUACAAAGAAUUGGCAUGUCACGGUAUACUAUUGUGUCUCUAUACAUUGCACCUUAUUUCAAAUACUAAUUUGUAUACAUGAAAAUGUUGCAUAUUUCAACAGGUAUAGCCAACAAUUAGCCCUUUGGCUGUUGUAGAACGACAGUCCCAAUGAAGCAUCAUGGGAGAUGUACUUCCAUGAAUGCUUUUGUUAAGCUUGCUAUGUAAUCAGAGCUAGACAAAUUCAAGGAACCAGCUAAAUAUGAUUCCUACAUAUGCUAUUUAUGUUGAUCUGUAUUUUUCUCCUCUUGGCUAAAAAAAAAAAAAAAAUCAAGUUGACUCAUAUGCCUUUCUGUCUACUAAAUUCAACAUUAAUUUGUCCAGCUCUAGUGAAGGUGGAUCAUGUGCAAUGUAUACUGAUUCCGAGUAUCCUGAUUAUAAUGGAUAAUGCUGCACUGUAUAAUUAUGAGUAUUUUCAUAUGCUGUUGUAAAGCUACACUGUAUAAUGAUGCUGACUGUCUGCAUAUUUUUAUGAUGUACAUUCACAAAACAGUGAGUUGGAAACUGAUUAAUAAGAUAUAGGCCAAAAUAGCACGUUUGGCGGGAAACCCAAUAUCAGCUCUGCUAUUAUGUCUUAAAUUCUGUAAGGCAGUGUUUCCCAAACCAGUCUUCAAGACCCACCAACAGUCCAGGUUUUGUCAGUAUUUCCAUUGGAAUAGAACAGGGUAAAACAUAAAUCCUGGGUUGUUGGUGAAGGAUGAGGACUGGUUUGGGAACCAGUGCUGUAAGGUCUUUGUAAUUUGACCACAGUUUACUAUCUUGUGAACAAACUCCCAAUUGUGCCCAUAAUUGGACCGCAAUAUAUCAUAAUGUAUAAUGGUACUGCCAAUCUCUGUACAUUACAUUUGUUGUGCUGUAUAAUGCUGCUAAGCACCCUUAUAUAGUACGCAAGGACCCAAGGUACUUCAUAGUCAUACUGGCACUCUUUAAAAAUGCCAAUGGCGUAUUAAUAUUCAGGUGAGAAAGAUAUGUGAGAAGAACCUGCUGCUUUUGUGAAGAUAUUUUCCAAAAUGGCGAUUGUUUUAAUACACGCUUAUUUUUUUUUUUUUUGUACAAAGUUGUAUAAAAGUGAAAGCAGAUGUCUUAUAUAUUUUGUGGCUGUUUAUAUUCCCAGAAAGAUUUCUAUGUACCUUAUAAUAAGGUGAAAAUCUAACUAUAUAUUUACAGUACCCCUGAUUUAACAUUUUCUCUGGCAGAGGGAGCUGAGAUCAAUACCCACUGACUGGGAAAGGGAUAACAUAUUGAGGAUGAGUCUGUCAGACUUCCCUUUUGUAAUGUGGAUAUGUCAGGCUAAUAUAUAAAGUUAUUUGGGCCAG